GUUGUGGCUCAGUGGUACAGUGCUUGCCUGGCAUGUGUGAGGCCCUGGGUUCAAUCCUUAGCACCACA
rnacentral:tRNA from 1 species